GAGUGGAGAUGAAGUUAGAUGGUCGAGAUGUAGCUGAUAACAGGGAAAUCAGCGUUGCAGAACAAGUGGAUUAUCUGCUCAAACAAGCAACAAGUGUAGAUAAUCUUUGCAACAUGUAUGAGGGUUGGACACCUUGGAUUUGAGCUGUUGAACACUAUUCUUUUUCCAACUCCCGAACUCCUUUCAUGAUAUUCUGUGAUAACAUUGAAGAAGCUCUGAGGUAAACUGGAGCUUAGUUUCCUUAGCCACAAGAGCCAUGUUGGAACUUUGGCUUCCUCAUUUCAAGAGACGUGGCAAUUGACAAGCAAUUAUAGUUUUCUGAUGCAGUCUAUGCAGCGAAUUUGAGGGUCCAACUUGAAGGCUGUAGCACUUUGAUCAUGGUUCAAGCACAGCUGAAAGACAAUUUAAUGUUGCUCCAAAGGGUAACAAUCUCCCUCCAUGUCCACUACCUGGCAAUAACAACUUCAAAAUAUCAUUUGGUACGAUGAAAAUCUGGAAGUCAAGCUGUGGAUGCUCUGAAGGAUUCCUUGGCAUACAUCAAUGAUUACAGUCGAACUGUGUGGAAUGAUCUUCGAGCAUUUUAGGUCUCAGUCUAUCGGUUGCUUCGUAUUUGAUGCUGACGAAGCAAUGCGCACUUCCAACAGCUGCUUAUAGACUUGAUGAAGGGUGGCUAAUGUCAUUUGUAUGUCAUCCAAAACAUGACUUUUGCCUCAGGCAGUCAGGAACGCGAAGUGGGUACCUUAUUAGCUCCUGGUAUUGCUCUAGUUGGGGUCUGGUCUUACCACGGAGCACUUGUAUCCUGUAAAUGUCUGUAAUGAUUGCAAAUGUCUCAUAAGUUCAAGGGAUGUUCCUACACAAUUAUGAUGGAGCAAGUGGCUGGAGCGGACCUGAUCUUUGCCUGCCACCACCCUCCACUCUCACAACCAUACUGUCAUCGGGCACUGGCUCACAGGGACAAGAGAAAAGGAAAAGAUUUUGUAGCUUAAGGUAGGAGAGGAACGAAUGCCCUUUCCAAGUCUCUGGGACUCGUGUCUAGUGGAUACAGUUGCUUUUGGGCAAAAGGCAUACUAGCAAUCCAGAGGAAUAGGAUGAAGGCAGCAACUUAGAAGUUGAUUGGUAUAAAACCAUGUUCAUUGUCAUCAGCUUCUCCUAGCUUGUCGCAAGUGUAUGCCAUAGUUUCUCAAUAAAGUGAGUGGAAUGCCAAUUGGCCCAUUUAAGUAUUAACAACAACAUACCCAGUAUAAUCGGCAUUUCAAGUAUUUUACAGGCUUGGCUCGGUCUGAAAGUAGAGCUUGCAGAAAAGCGGAUAGGAAAGGUAGCCUAUAGACUCAAGCGACCAGCUCGAUGAAAGCGAACCCCGUAUUUGAGGUGAGUCAGUUGACUUUGAUUAAAGCAGACCACCCCUAAAAUGGAAAUAUGUCAAUAUAUUACCUCAAAUGUUGAAAUAUAAGCUCUUGUGUUUGACUAACAAAUUAGAGUUUUGUGAUAUGGAAUCUACCUCAAAUGUUGAAAUAUCA